rnacentral:lncRNA from 1 species
CUUUAUUUAACAUAGGUAAACUAAACCAACGACACUUGUUUGCCAAUGAUUAUUUACGUCGGCAAAACUUUGUAUUUGCCAAUGGAAAAAAAAUAAGCAUCGGCAAAUGGAAUCAACGACCUGCUUAUUGCCAAUUCUUAUUUACCGAUGUUUUUUACAUCGGUAAUAGGUUUUGGUGGUGCUUUUUUAUUAUUUAGCUAUGCUUUUGUUAUGUUGCUAAUUGUCUUAUUUCUUGUAGUGAGAGGUGGA